AUGUGAAACAUCGCAAAACAUCGCCGUCAGAAAAAAGAAGCAACAUCGGCCAUCAUCGUCAUUUUGAUCGGAUAAAAAGCCAGCAGAACUUUUCCUGCUCACAGCCAUUUCCCUGUCGCUCCGAAGUGAAAUACAAUAAUUCGUGGGGAGUUCCUUUCGUGGUUAAUCAGAAGGUAGCGGAAAUAAUCGAACCGGACCAGCACUGCGUUCUGGAAGUGGAAACGCAUCGGCAGUGCAGAAAGUUAGCACACCAAAUCUUACCCUUAGUUGGGCGGGAGAGCACCGAAAAAAAGCAGCGCAAGAAAAUUUAUCAGACCCAACUUCCGGCAGAAUGACUCGUGGUAACCAGCGCGAACUGGCCCGAGAGAGGAACAUGAAGAAACAACAAGCCGCGCAGAAGAAAAACAAGGAAGACGGACUUACCCACGAACAGCGAAAACAACGGUUCUUUCCUCCUUAGUCAUAAACCUGUGUGCGAUUAUCAAAGAGUGAACAUCGUUGUGCUUUGCGCUGAUUUAGUAUAACUAGAAUUACCUGUAAAAAAUAACUGCAACCUCAAAGCACUUAGAGAUAUUCCAAUUCCAAACCAGCGAGCCAUUGUUUCAUAAGUUUUGCAUAAAUUUGAUCCUCUAUUCAAUUUUUCACUUGGUAAUUCGAACACAGUGACGCCGAUAUCAUGCGACAGAAGCAGCAAAAGAAGGAGCAGGACAAACUACCAGCAACCAAGAGUUAAUAUUUACCACUGGACUGUACCAAUCGGCACUUCCUGAGCUAACCGAAGAAAUCGCCCUCUCAAAGCAAACGUUGAAGAUUUAGUAGAAAGACGCAGUUGAUUUGCACUUAUUUAACCUUACCCCUAAACUACUUUUCCUCAUCGCUCUCGCUAGAAAGCUCUUGUACUCUGCCAAAAUGUGACGAUUGAUUGUUUUGCCAUCUAUUUUUUUCCUAUAUCCAAGAUAAAUUAACGCUGGAUUUAUUUGCUCACUAUGUAGGGUAUUUUUCCACGUAUUAAUAAACUUUAUUGAAAUUAUGUUUCUCCGAUCCAUUUGACUCCACUGAACAUCGGCGCCGAUUUCCUGCCCAAACUCCCUGAACAGAAAUGCUAUUUAUAAAAUCUCAAAUAAGGCGAUUCAGAAGAAGGUGCAGCAAUUAGAACAACAAUUUCAGCAGGUAUUACUAUAAUAGGAGAUCGUUAGAACAGUAGAACAUUAUUCCUAUACGAUAGCGCAUUGACGAGCGGAACAAUAAUCGAAGAACUCAACUCAUGAUAAACAAAAUACGCAAACUUAGGUUGAAUUUAAAGGGAAUCAGUUCACUAGCAGUAGUUAAUAGGACCGCACACAAUUAAGAACCAAAUGUUUAUUUCGAAGAGAAGAAAAGGGAGGCUCGCGUUCGAUAAAGGAUUAAAUGAGUUGGAGACAAAUAUAGAGAGAGAUCAGCGAGAGGAACAAUUUAACAAAGUUAAAGUUUAGUUUAAAGUCAUGGCAAGUAUCAGAAACGAAAAAUGUAUAAACUAUGAUAGUGAUAAGCAAGAAACAAAA